rnacentral:misc_RNA from 1 species
GAUGAAGAACGUAGCGAAAUGCGAUACUUGGUGUGAAUUGCAGAAUCCCGUGAACCAUCGAGUCUUUGAACGCAAGUUGCGCCCGAAGCCAUUAGGCCGAGGGCACGCCUGCCUGGGCGUCACACGUCGUUGCCCCCCAUCUACUCCUUCGGGAUUGCGGGGGGCGGAUGAUGGCCUCCCGUGCCCCUCGUCGCGCGGUUGGCAUAAAUGCCAAGUCCUCGGCGACGCACGCCACGACAAUCGGUGGUUGCGAAACCUCGGUUGCCCGUCGUGUGCGGUCGUCGCGCAUCGAGGGCUCGAAAAAAUUGCCGGGCUCCGGCUCGGCUUUCAACGCGACCCCAGGUCAGGCGGGGUUACCCGCUGAAUUUAAGCAUAUCAAUAAGCGGAGGA